rnacentral:lncRNA from 1 species
AGGAUACUAGGCCCUGAAGUCUGAUUCUAGCUCCCAAGUGGCCUCGUCUUCCAUGUGAUUCUGCCAUAAGACCUUGACUAAGAAAAUUUCUCUAUUGCGAAGCAUUCUACUCUUCCGAUCCAAAAUAUCUAUCGGUACUUCCUCAUGGGAUAGAUCCUUCUAUAGUGAAAGUAGCUCAUGAAACAGGAUAUGUGAGGAGUCUGGAUUGUACUUGCGUAGUACAGAUACAUGGAACACAUUAUGGACUCUGGAUAGCUCUAGAGGUAGUGCUAGCCUCUAGGUGGACGUACCCACCCGGUCCAAGAUCUCAAAUGGUCCAAUGAACUGGGAUUUUAAUUUAGCAUCUUUCCAAACCUGCUGAUACCCUAAAAAAUGGGUGACCUUAAGAAACACUCGGUUGCCCUUCUUAAAUUCUAAACCUCUCAUUCAGGUGUCCCCAUAACUCUUAUGCCUACUCUGAGUUAUUUAGAUGUUAUUUAUGACUUUAACUAUCUUAACUAUGGACUCCUCUACAAGGUCUAGGCCAAAUAAUUUUCUACCACCCACCUCUUCCCAACAAAUCGGUGACCUACAGGGUCAGCUAUACAAUUCCUCAUACAGGGCCAUGUCGGUACUUGUUUGACAACUGUUAUUAUAGGCGAACUCUAUCAGAAGUAAAU